GAGCGAUGGCAGAGUGGUCGAACGCGGCGGUCUUGAAAACCGUUAUACCGCAAGGUAUCGGGGGUUCAAAUCCCUCUCGCUCC
rnacentral:tRNA from 1 species